rnacentral:rRNA from 1 species
UACGUAGGGACCAAGCGUUGUUCGGAUUUACUGGGCGUAAAGGGCGCGUAGGCGGCUUGACAAGUCACUUGUGAAAUCUCCGGGCUUAACUCGGAACGGCCAAGUGAAACUGUCAUGCUAGAGUGCAGAAGGGGCAAUCGGAAUUCUUGGUGUAGCGGUGAAAUGCGUAGAUAUCAAGAGGAACACCUGAGGUGAAGACGGGUUGCUGGGCUGACACUGACGCUGAGGCGCGAAAGCCAGGGGAGCAAGCGGG